UUCGUAUCCAAUUUUCACCCAGCUCUCAUUUUCCCGAAGUCUAUUUGAGAUUAAGCAUUCCACUCUUUCUUGACUUCCUGAUUGUCAGAUGCUGCCUGACAUGCUGAGAUCCUCCAGCAUUUUGUGUGUGUUGCUCCGGAUUUCCAUCAUUGGCACACCUUCUUCCUCAUCAGAAGUCAAAGACAGGGUGUUAUCAUCGUCAGGCUCCAACAAGAUAUACAAUUGUGCACCAACAGCAUAACUGUGGAAAUCAAGUUUAUUCUCUCUAAUGAUGUCUCCCUCAUUUAUAAAAAGAGUAGGAGACCAAGACAGCUUCCCUGAGCAACACCAAAAGGUACAUUAUAUCUCUUAGAAAAAUAUUCUCCAAGACUGACAUAAAAACUCUCUCUUUUAUAUCAGAAAAACCAAUUAUUCGUGCUACCAAAGAAGCCAACCCAGUUCUCGGGGCAAUCUAGGCGAAUGUUGCAGUCAAUUGUGGCAAAGGCAGCACUCAGAUCUAGGAGAAUUAGAGGUGAGACCCUGUUGUCAUCAGUGCUGAGCCCAAGGUUGUUGACAAUUUUGGUAAAGGCAGUUUCUGUGCUGUGAUUUGCUCAGAAAUCUAGCUGAAACUUUUCUAGAAUAUUGUUCCCAUUCAGAAAGCUGUUGAGUUGGCUGAAAAUGACUUACUUGAGUAACUCGCCCAAGAAGAGAAGAUUUAAUAUAGGACUGUAGUAAGGUAGUACCUCACUAUGAAUGUUUGGCUUUUUUAAGUAGGGAUUUGAUAGCCACAAUGUUGAAGAAUUCUGGAGAAACUCCUGUUUCAAGCAAUGUGUUAAUGUUUUUUCUAACAGAAUUAAAAAGAGUCCUUAAAAUGUUUGGUAGGGACAGGGUCGAGACAGUAAGUAGACACUUUACUCUUUGUUAUAAUCUUAUUGGAUUCUGAAUUGGAAAUACUUGUAAAUUUUGUCAUGAUUGUCACCUUUAUACAAGGCUGGUAAUAGAGUUUACAGGUAUCUGUAACUACACUCCCCUUAAUGGAAGUCACUUUGUUAUUAAAAAAUAUUGUGAAUUCAUCACAUUCUGUGGCAGAUGCUUGACUGAGGACAUUAUAGGUUGGGGCAGGGUCAACAGUUGGUUUAUAAAUGAGAACAACAUUCUUGAAUGACCACUACUCUCUGUAACAUCUUGGAAAGGUGGACUCUUUUUGCAGAAUGCAUAGCAGCGUUAAGGGAGGCUAGGCCUUCCUUAAAAAUAUUAUGGUGGACUUCUAGCCCAACUUUCCUCCGUUUUCUCUCAGCUACUCUGCAUGAUAUGUAGCUCGCGUACAGUAUUGUUUAACCAUGGUGAGGUUUUACUGUGAUUUCUUUUUAACCCUUAGUGGCCACAGUGUUUAAUACAUAAAUUGGUCAACUUAUCGUGAAAGAAUCACUUACUGAGCAGUUUAGGUCUCAUGGGUCAGAUAAACUAGCCAGCUCAAAGAAUUUAAGUUGUGUUGCAACAUCGAGAGACCAUUUUUAAAGUAAUUUCUUUUGUAGACUCGAUUACAGGAAGAAGGGCAUCAAAAAGUACACAAACAUGAUCAGGGAUAGUGGUAUCAGACAGAGAAACAUUAAUAAAUCAGAAUCAGUUUUAAUGCCAUUGACAUAUGCUGUGAAUUAUGUUGUUUUGUCUCAGCAGUACAUUGUAAUACAUAAUAUUUUUUUAAAACUAUAAAUUACAAAAUAUAUAAAAUAUGCUAGAUGAGUAGUGUAAAAUAAGAGAGAAAAAUAGUGAGGUAGAGUACAAAGAUCAUUGUCCUUUCAGAAUCUGAUGGCGUAAGAGAAGAAAAUAACUGUUGAUGUGUAUCUUCAGGCUCCUAUAUCUCCUCUUUGAUGGAAGCAAUGAGAAGGGGGCAUGUCCUGCUUGAUGGGAGUCCUUAAUGACAGGUGUUACCUUUUUCAUGCAUCUCCCUUUGAGGAUAUCCUUGAUGCUGGGGAUGCUACUGCCCAUGAUGGAGCUCACCGAGUUUGCGAUUUUCUGCAACUUUUUCCAAUGCUGUGCAGUGGCCCCUCCAUACCAGAAGGUGAUGUAAGUAAUUACAAUGCUCUCCAAGGUAUAUAUGUAGAAAUUUGUGAGAGUCUUUGCUGACAUACCAAAUCUCCUCAAACUCCUAAUCAAAUAUCGCCGCUGCCAUGCCUUCUUUGUAAUUGCAUCAAUAUGCUGCACCCGGGACAGUCAGUCAUAGAAAAACACAGCAGAAACAGAUCACUUGGCCCAAUAAGUCUGUGCUGAAUCAUUUAAGCUGCCUAUUCCCAUCAAAAGAUCUUCAGAAAUGUUGAUACCCAAGAACAUGAAAUUGCUCACCCUUUCCACUGCUGAUCCCUUCAUGUGGACUAGUGCAUAUCUCCCUCAACUUCCACUUCCUGAAAUCCACAAUCAAUUCCUUGUUCUUCCUGACGUUGAGUGCAACUUUGGUGUUUGGACACUACUCAACUAGCUGAUCUAUCUCACUCCUGCAUGCUUUCUUGUCACCAUCUAAAAUUCUGCAACAGUAGUUGUGCUGUCGGCAAAUUCGUAGUUGGCAUUUGAGCUGUGCCUAGCCUCACAGUCGUGGGUGUAGAGGGAGAGUAGAACAGUGGGCUAAGCACACAUACUUGAGGUGCACCAGUGUUGAUUAUCAGCAAGGAGGAGAUGUAUUUCCAAUCUGCACUGACUGGGGUCCAGUUGCAGAAGAAGAUACAAAGGCCCAAGUUUUGAAGCUUGUUGAUUAGUAUUGAAGAUAUGAUGGUGUUGAAUGCUGAGCUGUAAUCAAUAAACAACAACCUGGUAAUAUUUCUAUUGUCCAGGUGAUCCAAGGCUGAGUGAAAAGCCAGGGAAAUUGCAUCCACUGUAGACCUAUUGUGUCGAUAGAUAAAUUGUCACUACUAGGUCGAGUGUAUUUCCAAGUGGACAGUGUGCUCAGUGACAUGCUGGGUAAGAUCAAGUUCAUGGAUUCAGCUGCCAUGGAGUUCACAUUUGAGAGAUUAUUAAUAUGAACACUGAAAUCACCAAUGAUGACAAUCCUAUCAUAGUUCAAUAUAAUAGAGGAUAACAAUUCUGAGAAUGCCAAAAGAAAGCAGAAGGUAAAUAUUAGCACAGAGGUCAAAAUCCAUGCCACAAAUUUUAAACAUAUGACUUUCAAAACUUGAAAAAUUGUGGACAGACAUAUUUCACCUAAAAUGCUUUUUGAUGCACUAAGAUGCUCGACUUGAAGGGGAACAAUCAGGAGGUGGUUUGCAUCGCAUCAAUUGUUUGAUGGUAGGAUUCAUGGGUUUGGAAAUGUUAAAAUAACUGUAGUUUGUUUAGUGCAUGAUGAGCACUGUAACCAUGGUGUAUCUGUGGUUGGGGGUGGGGAGAAAUGGUUAUUUAAAGUGGCAAAUUUUUCAUGAAUGGCAUCAAGCUUUUUGAAUAUUAUUAGAGUUAUACCAAUUCACCUAAAUGGAGAGUAUUCCAUCAUGGUCCUGAUCCAUACCUUAUUGCUGACCAGCAGAUGAGGCUUUCUGCCUUGUCACAACCGGUCUCGUAACCACUGUUUGUGGACUGGUUCAGCCAAUAGUCUGAUCAAUGGUGACAUCCAAGAUGUUGAUGGCAAAAGUCUUGAUGUCAAUUAUGCCAGUAAAUAUAGAGGGAAAGUUCUUGGACUCCCUCUUUUGGAGAGAGAAAUAGCCUGCCACUAUGAGAAUAACACAAAAAAUUAAUAUAGAUAAGGUUUAAAAUUUUAAUGUCGGAGGAAGCUGAAUUAAAUCUAAUCUAAACAUCACCCUCAUUUAGCAUCAAAAUACUUACUUCAGAAUACAUAAAUAUCAGCAAAAUUAUAGUUAUGCAACCAAAUAUUCCCCCCCCCCCAGUAAUAUUUUUGUCAACUAGAAGUGCUUACAUAGUCUGGAAAUUCUGAUUGUGCCAAUUCAACAACAGCAUUUUUUUUUGCAAAUACAUGAGAAUUUUGAGGAAACCUUUGAUUUUAUUCAUAAUUCUUCAAUGAAUUUUAUGGGGUCGAUAAGGAUCCAUCUAAAUUCUAUCUUCCACACUGUGGAUGAGGUACAGUAUGUUCAGGAUACAAGAGAUUCUGCAGUGGCAUAACAAAAAGGAAACACACUGUUGGUGCUUACAACAAAAAUAUUGGCAUAAGUUAGGCUAUGAGAGAGAAAGAGAGAGAGAGAGAGCACAAUUACCUAGGAUGAUUAACAACAGAAUCUAUCAGUGCGUCAAAUACCCUCAGGAGACCCAAAAAUUGAUAUCAAGAUGGAACCAAAUGCAAAUCUUCCCUUAACACCAAUAACCCUGUCUAAAAUGAAUGAACAGCAGUAACGCUUUACCAAUGAAGACCAAGGAACAUUAAUGAUGUUCUACAUCUUAGUGAUUAUCUGAAGACCACUGAAGUUAAUCUAAUGGCGUGAGGCUGAGAAGAGAUGUACUGUGAUGAAGAGACAGACAAUAACAAAAACUCUAGCAAGAACUGUAAUACCAUCUCUGGCUGCAAAGACUGCCUGAAGCAAUAUAUCUGUCAGACUGGGAGGUACCCUUGCUAAUUCCAUUUUAUUAGUUAUUUUUCCUUUUUACUUGAAACUUACCCAAGCUGUGCAAUGAAGCCUGGGUUUGGGUCAGAUAGGGUCAACCAUUUGAAAAUAACAUUUUUUUAAAAAGUGUGAUUUAAAUUCAUUUCUUGGUGGCAAAGUGUUUCAGUAUCGAAAAUAGCAAGCAAUGAGUACUGACAAGCCAGGAUAGGACUAGUGAUGCUGGGAACCUGCCAUGCCCUGAGCAGACAGUUAAGAGAAGUGUCCCAUGGGAGAGUGCUCCCCCUCCAUCUGCACCAAAGAUUCCCAAACUUCUGGAGGCUAAGACAAGCAAUAGCUGUUCCUUUUCAAGUUUGUUUGUUCAACCCAUGGUGACCACAGGCUACUCCAUGAAUCUAAGAAAUUACAAGUACUAUGGGCUCAGUUUAACAAUGUCCCAAUUAGAUUAGAUAUUCAUUGUGUCUAUCAUGACCAGUCCACAAAGAGGGCAGAUGAAUUAAUGAGGCUAGUAUUUCAUUGUCUUUUUUCUCUUUACCUGUCCUUAGAAUGGUCCUCUGCGACUGGAAAUUCAUUUAAUCUGCAAUACCAUUUCCUAUUUCUGUGCAAAAAGAUAUCAUUGACUGGUAUCAAACUGAAAAGUACAAUUUAUCCUUUAACAACUAAUGAUUGUGUUAACAUCUGAUUAAAAUAAUGUUUUUUCAAAGGGGUAACAUUAAUACAGAGGAAUCAGAACUGAAAAGGGGAAAAAUAACUAGAAUGUUAAAUAUUUCUCAGGUCUGCCACAAAAAGCAUGAAACACUUUAGCUCUUUGAAAUUCUUUUUAAGUGGCUUUUUUGUUGCUGGUAAUAGAGGUGUGAAUAAGGCCUUCACAUUGUCUGCAUAUUUAUGAAAUCACUACAGUCAGUGCAAUAACAAAAUAAAUCCCAAUGCAAGUUUUUAUAUAUGCUUAUACAAAACUGAAUGUGCUUAUAUUGCUUCAGUAUGAGGCAGAAAUCUGUGAAACAUUAAUAGUACUUCUAUCCAGGAACCAUUAGGUUAAAUAUCAGUGGCUCAGUGUACCCAAACAUUUCAUUAAUUGGCUGAGCAAGUAGACCAUUUGAUCUUCAAGGCAAGUGGCACAGUUCAGUGGAAUAAUAUCCCAACAUCAAAGUGUAUAAUCAAAAGUAGAAACAUGCGAUCGAGAAAUAAAUACUAUCCGAGUACUAAAUUGAGUUACAAGAGUCUAUCUGUAGAAAUCUACCUGAGGCCAACAAAAGAAAACUUCAAUUAUUGUGAAAUGAAGUUUAAUCUCCGUAUCCUGUUCUGCCAGUUUUUAUAUAUUUGAAUAAUGCUACACCACUUAAUGUAAAUAUUAAAUCAUUUAGUCAUAUAGUUAGAGAAUUGUAUGUAAAGAGGGUUUCUUCUUUUUGUUAACUAGCAGGAAUGCUAAUUUACUGAUAACGAGAAUGGUAUUCCUUUGUAAACCAAAUGGGGAUUAAUGUUCUUUCUUCUGAGUCUGUAAGCUUUUGUUGACGGGCUUUUGGGGAGAUCGGCGCGAGGGGGUCGAGAGAGAGGACGCAAUGCUCUAAGCUGGGCGAGGAUCGGACCCCAAAGGGGGGUCCGAGGCCGGGAGAUUCUCCGAGGGGGGGGGGGAAUGAAGCUAGAUGUGCUUGGUUGACCACUCGGAGGGUCCUGAGCUGUUUGGAGAGUCGAGGAGUUCGGAGGGUCCCGAGCUGCGAGUCGAGGAGUUCGGAGGGGAUCGAAUGGUGGCCAGAAGACUUCAGUAAUUGAGCUCCAACGGCUGUGCACGAAGUGGUUUGGACUUUGAUAAGUUUGGCGCCUUUUCUUUAAUUUUCUCUUCAUAUAUACUGUAUCGUUAUUAAUCACUUAGUUAUAGUAACCUUUAUAAAUUGUACUUAUUUAAUCGCAUAUGGUGUACUGUCUGUUUUUGGGCGAGGCGGGGACAUCACACAGCAUCCACACCAGCUGAUUACCCAGUUUGGCGGGGCCGAAGGCUGCUCCCCCUAGACAAGAACGAGCUGAGCGAGCCUGAGGCGACCCAGGGGGUUACAUGUAGAGAAUAGAAAUAGGUCUUUUGGCUCACCACAUUCACUCCAACCUUCAUCUGCCCAUAUUAGGCCUGUAUUUUUCUAUGCCUUGCCUAUUCAAGUGCCUAUUCUAAAUGGCUCCUACAUGUAGUAAUUGUAUCUAAACCCACCACUUCCUCUGGCAGCAUGAAGAUAUCAACUACCCUUUGAGAGGGAAAUGGAUCAACCAUGAUGAAAUGACGGAGCAGACUCUAUUAGCCAAAUGGCCUAAUUCUGCUCCUACAUCUUACGGUUUUGUUCGAGAAUUUAGUGAUUCUUGAAAGAUCAUUAAUGCCUCCACAAUCACUUCAGCUACCUCUUUCAGAGCCCUGGGGUAUAGUCCAUCUGGUCCAAGUGGCUUACAUACCUUCAGGCUUUUCAGCUUCCCAAAUACCUUCCCCCUAGUAAUAGCAAUUGCACUCACUUCGACACUCCAACUUCCGGCAUAAUGCUAGUGUCUUCCACUGGGAAGACUGAUAAAAAAAUACUUAUUCAGCUCAUCCGCCAUUUCUUUGUCCCCAUUCCUACUUCUCCAACAUCAUUUUCCAGAAGUCCAAUAUCUUCUCUUGCCUCUCUUUUACUCUUUAUAAUCUAAAAAAACCUCUAGUAAUCCUUUUUACAUUUUUUGGCUAGUUUACCUUCACAUUUCAUCCUUUCCCACUGUAUGGCAUUUUUAGUUGCCUUCUGUUAGUUUUUAAGUUUCCCAAUCCUCUAAUUACCCACCAAUUCUUAUUUUAUUAUAUGCCCCCUCUUUUGCUUUUCUGUUGGGCUUGACUUUCAUUGUAAGCUUUGGCUACAUCAUCCUGCCUUCAGAAUAGUACUUCUUCUUUGGGAUGUAUCUAUCCUGUGCCUUCUGAAUGCUCCCAAAAAAGUCCAGCCACUGCUGCUCAGCCAUCAUCCCUGCUAGCAUCCCCUUCCAAUCAACACUGACCAGCUCCUCUGUCAUGCCUCUGUAAAUCCCUUAAUUCCACUGUAAUACUGAUGCAUCUGACUUUAGAUUCUCCCUCUGAAACUGCAGGGUCUAUUCUAUCACAUUGUGAUCACUGCUUCCUCAGGGUCCCUUUACCUUAAGCUCCCUAAUCAAAUCCAGUUCAUUACACAACACCCAAUCCAGAAUACCUGAUCCCCUAGUGGCUGCUCUAAAAAUCCAUCUUGUAGAAAUUCUACAAAUUCUUUCUCUUGAGAUCCAGCAUCUGAUUUUCCCAAUCGACCUGCAUAUUGAAGUCCCCAUGAUUAUCAUCACAUUGCUCUUUUGACAUGCCUUUUCUAUCUCCCAUUGUAAUUUGUAGCCCAUAUUCUGGCUCUUGUUCGGCGGGUGGGGGCUGUUUUAACUCUCAUCAGGGUCUUUUACUCUUGCAGUUUCUUAACUCUACCCACAAGAUUUCUAUUUCUUCCAAUUCUAUGUCGCCUUUCUAAGGAUUUGAUUUUGUUUAUUUUAACCAACAUAGCCAUUCCACUCCCUCUGUCAACUUGCCUAUCCUUUCAAUACAAUGUGCAUCCUUGGAUGUUAAGCUCCCAACUAUAAUCUUUCAGCCAUGACUCAGUGAAGCCCAUAACAGCAUACCUCCUGAUCUCUUAAAUUCACUACACGAUCAUCUACUUUAUUCCAUAUACUGCAUGUAUUCAAAUAUAACACCUUCAGUCAUGUAUCUGUUACCUUUUUUGGUUUUGUUCCUGCUUUACUCUGCAACUCAUCCCACUGAGUAUAAUUUUGCCCUACCACCUGCCUAUCCUUCCUGACAGUCUUACACACCGCCUCUGAUUGGAAACCUAUCCUCAGCCCUACCACUCCGUUUUCAAUCACUCACCAAUAUAGUUUAAACCCUCCCGACAGCUCUAGCUAACCUGCCCACAAAGUUAUUAGUCCCUCUCUAGUUCCGUUUUAAACCCUCCCUUUUAUACAGGUCAUAACUUCCCUAGAGAGAUCCCAAUGUCUUAGAAAUCUGAAAACCCGUCCCCUGCACCAGUUUCUCAGUCAUGCAUUCAUCUGCCAAAUCAUCCUAUUCUUACCCUCAAAGGUACGUGGCACAGGCAGCAAUCCAGAGAUCACUACCCUGGAGGUCUUGCUUUUCAACUUCCUACAGGACUGAAGUGGUGGCAGCUGCAAGGUAUCAUCAUAAAUCAAGAGUAUUAUAACCGAAACUAACAUUGCAUUCUUUACCAAGGGAAACACAACUAUGCUUCUCUGGGAACCUUGGAAAGAUUAUGACAUUGAUGGAACAUUGAAAGCAGUGUUAAGAUGACAUAUGACAUUUUUAUAACACCAUUAAAAUGUACCCAAACAACUUCUAAUCCAAGCAAUACAGACAAUGUAUCUAGCAACAACAAUGCAUCUUUAAAGAAAGCCACAGACGCCAAUGAAGACCAGGAGCAAUAAUAUAAACAAGAACAAUAAUAAAAUCUAGAAGCACUAUUGUUAAUUCACUCAGCUACAUCUAAUCAUAUAGGUUAUGUACACAAAAUUUUAUGUUGUCACUGAAGAAUAAAUGCAAGAAGAGCGGAUCUGGAUGACUUUACAAUUAUUCAAAGUAGUCACCAGAAUUUCGCUAUGUACCACCUGCCAAAAAUUGAGAAAUGCCAAAAGUUUAGAGAUGCAGUGGAUCAAUGAGCACAUCACAGCUUUGAAUUUCAAUAAAGAUCCAGAUGCAAUUCCUGACACAAACUGAACGUGUCAGAGUAUCUAUUAAUGGAGAAUGUGAUUAUUUAAAAUGACUAUUUAAAAUCUGCAGCCUUUAGAUGACCAUUUUAGCAAUUGUAUCGAACAUUUAGAUAAUGAAAUGAAAACACUUCAGACUGCUUACGUAAAAAGCAUGAAAUA